UCAAAUCUUCAUUUUAUGCUGGUGUCUUCC
rnacentral:piRNA from 1 species